AACAUCGUAGGGUAUUAUCACUUGGUAAGGGUACAGGACGACAGGAAGUUUCACUGCUAACCUUUGGCACGAUCUAGUAAAACUUCGCCCGGGCACUCCCAGUGACUCACCUUCUGAACACAGCCAGGUGUACACAGCCAGGCCCGGAUGGAGGAAGGCUGACACGUGGCCCUACACAAGUAAGAAGGCUUCAGAAGCAACGCUCGCAAUCACACCUAGCCAGAAGGAAUGCAAAUAACCACCAGCAGAAGGAUGGAAAUAUACUCUGAUUUCUUUUCAGAUGGUAUGAAUCUUUCCUACUUUCUUCCCUUUUCCCUUUUUUUUUAUUGUUGUAGUUAUCAUUGUUGUUGUUAUUGAUGUCGUCAUUGUUGGCUAGGACAGAGAGAAAUGGAGAGAGGAGGGGAAGACAGAGAGGGGGAGAGAAAGACAGACCCCUGCAGACCUGCUUCACCACCUGUGAAGCGACUCCCCUGGAGGUGGGGAGCCCGGGGCUUGAACCAGGAUCUUUACGCAGGUCCUUGUGCUUUGAGCCACAUGCGCUUAACCCGCUGCGCUACCACCCGACUCCCAAUCUUUCGCCUUUCACAGAAGGAUGGGAAUGAGCUGUGCUGCAUCCAUAACCCGGAACCUGGUACAAUCAAUGACGAUGAACACGCAAUAGACAGCUAAUGUGUGGAGGUGCCUGACCCCCCAGGCGUGCUAAGCACAAGACCAACCAUCAGAUAAUAUACUGAGUGAAUCCACUUUAAACAGAGUUCAAAAACGGCGAAGAUAGGGUGGAGCACAGCGGGUUAAGCGCAGGUGGCGCAAAGCACAAGGACCGGCAUAAGGAUCCCAGUUUGAGCCCCUGGCUCCCCACCUGCAGGGGAGUCACUUCACAGGUGGUGAAGCAGGUCUGCAGGUGUCUGUCUUUCUCUCCCCCCUCUGUCUUCCUCUCCUCUCUCCAUUUCCCUCUGUCCUAUCCAACAAUGACAUCAAUAACAACAACAAUAACUACAGCAACAAUAAAAAACAAGGGCAACAAAAGGGAAAAUAAAUAAAUA